rnacentral:rRNA from 1 species
UACAGAGGCUGCAAGCGUUAUUCGGAUUCACUGGGCUUAAAGCGUGCGUAGGCGGCCAAGUGUGUUAGUCGUGAAAGCCCGGGGCUUAACCCCGGAAUUGCACCUAAAACUACAUGGCUAGAGCAUUGGAGAGGGUAGCGGAAUUCACGGUGUAGCAGUGAAAUGCGUAGAUAUCGUGAGGAACACCAGAGGCGAAGGCGGCUACCUGGACAAUUACUGACGCUGAGGCACGAAAGCGUGGGGAGCAAAAGGG